rnacentral:pre_miRNA from 1 species
GUAGUAUUCCCUCCGUCCCAAAAUUCUUGUCUUACAUUUGUUUAGAUACAGAUUUAUCUAAUACUAAAAUGUAACUAGAUACAUCCGUAUUUAGACAAAUUUAAGAAAAGAAUUUUGGGACGGAGGGAGUACAAA